rnacentral:rRNA from 1 species
UCCUGGCUCAGGAUGAACGCUAGCGGCAGGCUUAACACAUGCAAGUCGAGGGGUAACAGGGCGUAGCAAUACGCUGCUGACGACCGGCGCACGGGUGCGUAACGCGUAUGCAACUACCCGUAACAGGGGUAUAACGGAGAGAAAUUUUCCACUAAUCCCCCAUAUUGUUGUUCUUUUCGCAUGUUGGGACAACGAAAGGUUUUUCUGGUUACGGAUGGGCAUGCGUGACAUUAGGUAGUUGGCGGGGCAACGGCCCACCAAGCCGACGAUGUCUAGGGAGCUGAGAGGCUUAUCCCCACACUGGUACUGAGACACGGACCAGACUCCUACGGAGGCAGCAGUGAGGAAUAUUGGUCAAUGGGAGGAAUCCUGAACCAGCCAUGCCGCGUGGGGAAGAAGGUCCUAUGGGUUGUAAACCCUUUACGCCGGACGUAAUAAGAGCCUUGCGAGGUUCGAUGAGAGUACGGCGGAAUAAGCAUCGGCUAACUCCGUGCC